AAUCUCAAUUCAUUUUAAUUAAAAUUGUAGAAAGUAGAAAUUGUAUGUUAUACAUCAUUGUGAUUAUUGCAUCUAUAAUACUUAAUAGUAUUUUAAGGUUGCAUGAUAGAGAUUUUAUGUGCCACCCCAGAGUAACUGGCACCUGCCUGGCCACCCCUAUGAAAAAUCCCUGGCUCCGCCACUGAUUAGCAAAACACAAAAAAUACAUUAUAUUAUAAAUCUUUACCCGGACAAGUGACUUUUGUGCAUUGACAAGUGAAACAUAAAUUUACUCCGAAGAACAAGUUCCUCAAAAAGUUAAUGUCAAGCCCUGCACCAGCUAACUUGCAUUACAUUUGCAAGAACCACGUCUUUCUCUCACUUCAGCCGUGUGGCACGCGUGCCUGCUCACGAUGUGAAGCACGUCUGCGCUAUUCUCUGAAAAGCACUUGACAGGCUUUUGUGCAGUGCCUGAAUUUGUGUAAAUGAUUUUUGUCAAAAAAUAGAAUUCUGGUUUAUCUCAAUCAGUUUCCCAGCUCAUUCAAAAGCGACUUCAAUACUGGUUUUGAAAAUUAGCUCAUCACUAAUAUCUUUAUCCUCUAUGUCUUUCAUGAACUUGUUUUUUCCCCUCAAGGUAAUAAUGGUAAGAUCCCAGCAGGAAGCUAGAAGGCCAGGCAGUGGCAAUGAUGAGCCUUUGAAAAGGAGGAAACCAUGCCUGAAGUACCCAUCUGAAGGAACAAACACUUGUCAUAAAUGUCUCUCAAAACAAUGUCUCUGGCAGAGGAAAGGGUACGCUCAAAAAACCCUGGACAAAAGCUGAAGUGAGUGGUAAAUGGACUGCAUUUUAUAUAGCGCUUUUAACAGACCUAUGGCCAUCCAAAGCGCUUUACAAUUUGCCUCACAUUCACCCAUUCACUCUCUCAUUCAUACACCGACGGUGGUGUGAGCCAUGCAAGGGGCCAUCCAGCUCAUCAGGAGCAGCUGGGGUUAGAUGUCUUGCUCAAAGACACCUCGACACUUGAUCAGGUGGAGCCGGGGAUUAAACCACCAACCUUCCGGUUUGUGGACAACCUACAUGAACCACUGAGCCACUGCCGCCCCAGUGAACGCUGUAAUGUGACACUUCAGAUCUCACAUCAGCAAAGGUCACUUGGCGUCAGUGAGAGAAUGUGAGGUCUGUAAAAGAAGUGAGCAUCCAGUGCUACAAAAUAGGACAGAGCAAAAUCUCAGAGAGUUUGUUUGAAACCGAGGGCUUACCUUUAAGCGCAUGGAAAAGUGAGUCAAAAUGUUCAGAAUGUAAUGCUGUUGAUUUUAAAGUAACGUUUUGUAAUUGCCGUCAUUGAAGGAACACGCCAACAUUUUGGGAAUUUAGCUUAUUCACCGUAUUCCCCAGAGUUAAAUAAGUCCAUACAUAUUUUUCUGUGCCUGCUGUAACCCUGUCUGACGCAGCCCUUGCUAGCUUAGCUUAGCACAAAGACUGGAAGUGAAUGGCUCCAGCAAGCAUACUGCUCCCAAUACGUGACAAAAUAACACAAACAUUUUCCCAUUUAUGUGUUGUGAUUUGUACAGUCGCACCAUGUACAAAUAACAAGGUGAUAUGAGACACAGCCAUCUUUUAACGAAUACAUACUGGGAACUAUAUUCUCAGAAGGCGAAGCACUGCUACUUGGGCGUAGUGAUUUGCUCGCAGCCCCCGAGAAGCCCCCUGGUGAGGAGCAGAGAGUUCGGUCAGAGUUGUGCAAAUCACUCCGCCCAAGUAGCAGUGCUUCGUCUUCUGAGAAUAUAGUUCCCAGUAUGUAUACCAGGGCUCGAAAUUGCGACUGUUUUGGUCGCAUAUGCGACCAAAAUUUAAUCUGUGCAACCUUAAAAAAUAUUUGGGAGCAUUUUUGCGACUGCUUAUUUUGUUGUGGUGUGACUUGAUUUAGAUAGUGUAUGUUGUGUGCUGUUCCAGGUUCAGCGUUCUCUCCAGCAUUACAUAACCAAUCAAAUUUCACCAUUAAGUUUUUGCGUUUAAUGAAGAGCACAGAUUGGUUAAUAUGAAUGUCAAUCAUUCCUUGUUGCCGUGCUACGUUGGUACGCAAAGCGCGAAAAUGUGAAAAAACGAACCACGAGAAUGAAGAGAACGAGACGACUACAGCCAAUCUUACUACUGUAUUAAUGGAGGUUGCAGGUAAAACGGCGUUGGUGGCGGAAUCCACACAUUUUAAGCGCGAGACCUUGCUUGAACAUGGCGAAAGUGCCAAAAACACAAAAAGUGUCAUGACAAAUGUGUUCAUUAUUGAAGGAGACACUGACCUGUCUAUCAAAUCAAAUAGUGUUUGAUGAUGUAUGAGCGCAUCCUGCUUGAGGGACAUCCGACAAACAUCCUUUUGUAAUGUCACAAUUAAUCAGUGUUUUACGUGUUUGCUAGAUUUUUUAUUGUCAUCAUAAUUAUGUUACCUAUAAUUGUUUAAUUAUUAUUGCGGCUUUAUUAUUUAAACAGCAUUUGGGUACUAUUUUAGGAAUCUGCAAAAAAAAAAUUCAAAUCCUGGCCAUAGGAUGUGUAAAGCCCAGUUGUGUUUAUUUUUAAUAAAAUAAAUCUAAACCUAUACAUAUUGUGGUGCUUCAAAAUUUGGUGCUUCUAACUCUUUAAAGUUGGGAGCAUCAGUGCUACCAAAUAAAAGGGUUUAUUUUGAGCCCUGUAUACUAGGGGUGUAACGGUACGCAAAAAUCAUGGUUCGUGCGUACCUCGGUUUUGAGGCCACGGUUCGGUUCAUUUUCGGUACAGUAAAGUAAAAUACAUUUAUGAACGAUUAGCCUACAUUUUUGCCACCAAAAAUGUUUUUGUUUUGAAUUAUUUUGGAUUUUUUAAGUCACAGUAUUGAAUUGGUUAUGUACCAUCUCUGUAUAAAAAUAAUAUUACUUCUCUAUGUGUAACUGCACAGCAAGCAACAUGAUGAUAUAGUUAUUAUACACUCAUAUUAAGAUGGGUGAGUUGCAUACAUAGCCUUCUUUUACCUUUUGCACGUUUCUCCUAAUCUUUGCUUGUGUUGCCAAUGUAAGCUGUGACUUGAACUAACGAACCCCUCCGCAGCUGAGUAACAGCUGAGUAAGCCCGGGUUACAGCUCUUCUCUGUCCCGACCAGCUGAUCACAUUGUGACAAUGAUAUGAUUGACGUGAGGUGCAGAUGAAAAAUCUGAUCACGCAUUCCGUUAUUCUCGCGUGUCACAGAAAGCGCGACUCAUGAUUGCGUAGCAACGAAAGAACAAAAAGAACAAAACAGCGCAUCAACACGCGUUUAACAUGCACUUUUAGACGCGACACGUAAACGUUUAAAUCAAUAAUCAAACGAAUAUACAACUAAGUAAAUAAAAAUCUUUCUGCGGGCCAAAUUAUGUUAUAUGUUUGACAGAAGACUUGCGCUGAACGCGGAGACUUCCGCCACUUAAUAUGUUUGUGUGGAAACGCACACAACAUAUUAUGUUCCACCUAUGUUCCGCACACAAAAGAUUGCAUUUGGCCCUUCGGUGCACACGUGCACCGUGCCGAAAGCACUGUACCGAAACGGUCCGGUACGAAUACACGUACCGUUACACCCCUACUGUAUACUGUUAAAAGAUGGCUGUCUCAUAUGACCUUGAUAUUUGUACACGGUGUGACUAUACAAAUCACGACACAUAAAUAGGAAAAUGUUCGCAUUAUUUUGUCACUUAUUUGGAGCAGUAUGCUAGCUGGAGCCAUUCACUUCCAGUCGUUGUGCUUAGCUAAGCUAGCGGGGGCUGCAUCAGACAGAGCACGCACGGAGAUAAGAAUAAUAUGUAGGGACUUAUUUAACUCUGGGGGAUACUGUGAAUAAGCUAAAAUGUGGGUGUGUUCCUUUAAGUAAAAUUUUUCUGAUUGUAAUGUUAUUGCUGUUGAAAGUAAUGUUUUUUAAAUUCCCGUCACAAAGUAAAAAUGUUCUGAAUGUAAUCGUGAUUAAUCAUUUGGCAGCACUAGAUUGUAAUGUUGACAGUUUUUAAAUUCAAAAAAUGAUUUUUUUAUUAAACGUUUUUACUCUCUUAACUCUUUCCCUGCCAGCGUUUUAAAAAAGUUGCCAGCCAGCGCCAGCAUUUUUCAUGAUUUUCACAAAAGUUUAAUGCCCUCCAGAAAAUGUUCUUCUUUAAAUAUAUAAACAAACAAUAUAUCAAAUGAAAGAACAGACCCUCUGCUUUCAAACAAAAAAACCUGUUUCAUCAUACCUUCAUUCGUUCUCUUUUUAUCACCUCUCAAAUAUGGGAAGGUUUCUUCAAAAACACCCAAUUUUGAGCAAAAAGCUGAGAUAAUUCCAUUUUUGUGAAGGACUUUUUAUAGAGAUCAGAUGCAGAGUGAUCUUUAAAACAUACACGGAGUUCUUUCAUGUGAGGCAUUUCUUACGGGUUGUAUAAGUUGCGGUAUUGCGGAAAGCCGGAAAUUCUCGUCAUUGGCAGGGAAGCGUUUUCUCUUAAUUGACGAGUUAUCUCAUCAAUGGCGGGGAAAGAGUUAAUUAUCCAAGAUUAUCAUCAUUACAUUAUUGUCAAAAUGAAUUAAUUGUCAAAAAUACAAUAAAAACUAAUUUGUGAAAUA